rnacentral:rRNA from 1 species
CCUACGGGUGGCAGCAGUAGGGAAUAUUGCUCAAUGGGGGAAACCCUGAAGCAGCAACGCCGCGUGGAGGAUGAAGGUUUUCGGAAUGUAAACUCCUUUUGUUAGAGAAGAUAAUGACGGUAUCUAACGAAUAAGCACCGGCUAACUCCGUGCCAGCAGCCGCGGUAAUACGUAGGGUGCAAGCGUUACUCGGAAUAACUGGGCGUAAAGAGCGCGUAGGCGGGAUAGCAAGUCAGAUGUGAAAGCCUAUGGCUUAACCAUAGAACUGCAUUUGAAACUGUUAAUCUAGAGUAUGGGAGAGGUAGGUGGAAUGCUUGGGGUAGGGGUAAAAUCCGUAGAGAUAAAGAGGAAUACUGAUUGCGAAGGCGACCUGCUAGAACAUAACUGACGCUGAUGCGCGAAAGCGUGGGGAGCAAAAAGGAUUAGAUACCGAUGUAGU